CAGUUUGCACAGUCUUGUAGUCCUUAAAAUCAAUUCCAGCAUCAUCCUUGACUUCCUCAACAACAUUAGUCAUAUCAAAUCCCAAGUCUUCCACCAUCUUCUCAUCAUCUCUUCUUUUAUGAUCAAAAUAAUUUUGCUGCACUAAUCUCUCCAUCAAUUCUAUCCACUCAGGCCAUGGGUGCACCAUCUCCACCUCCACCUUCUGCCCCCUAUUCUAC
rnacentral:lncRNA from 1 species